UAUUAGCAUUUGUUGAUCUCUCAAAUUUCUGUGAAGAAUAUCAGAGAGAUGAAACAGUCAUCUGGGUGAAGACUUGCCUAUUGAAAUGCAGGAGGAAGGUUAGUUGUGGGAUACUGACAUCAGGUUUUAGGAAUUAGGAUUUUCCAGUCUCUCAAAUGACACAGAGCACUACUGAGAAGUUGAAGUAACUUCCCCACAGUUACUCAUCAGAGACAGAUGUUUCACCCUGCACGUGCAAAGCAAGUAGACAAACAGAUGCCAGAGGUGAAUUGCUUCAUCUUGCAUGUCUCGUCUUUCCACUCAUCGCUAGACACCUGUUGUCAUCAUUAUCUGUCCAGCAGAGAAAAGAUCCUCCAUCAGGGUCAUAACAGAAGUUUCCCAGAUCCUGACAAGAAAUGUAUUCACGUUGACCCAAUCUGCAUGAAACCCAGCAGAGGGAUGGGAACCAGAGAGGUGUUCCUCAUCCCCAGCCACAACCCAGGCAUGCAGAUUAAGAGAGAAAUGGAGCGGAGUGCAUUCUAAGGGAAAGAGGAGCCCAGUGUAUUCGUUGUUCUUCCACCUCUGCAGUUCUCUCUCUGUGACCCUUUGCGUGGGAGUAGCUGCACAUUGCUGUUGUAGAUGUUGGAACCCAAUUUAUCCAGAAGAUGGGGAGGACCUGAACUGGCUCCAGCAGUUCUGAAACAUAGAAGAAGCAACACAACUUUAACAGAAAUGGUACACUCAAGGAGAAGCUUCAGGAAUCAGCACAAGCAUCAUUAGCCCCGGAGGCUGACAUGGCGGUUGAAUGUAUGCAGACAAACUGCUCUCCCCAAGCAAGAGGGCCCUGUCAACACCCGUGAAGCGAAAACCUGUCUGCGCCGCAGCUUUACCUUGAUUUUCUCUAUGAAGCCAAGGACACCUGACAUUGGUUCAUCACAUUUUUAGGAUUAUGUGYUCAGGAAUAUCUGCUCAGGGAAGUCUAUUUUCACUAUUUUGCACCUCUGUAACAAGAGCUUGGGACUGGACGAGUUUUUGCCUGGACAAGUGUGUGAAGAGAGCUGGUUUAGACUAGUAUUGCAGAAGGGAGCUGUUAUGAAUGGACUCAGAUGCAUGGAGAUCUGAGAAUGAUAAGUCCAAGGCUUCAUUCCUCUGGGUCAAUGAUCUUUGGGGACAAGGCAGAGAGGAGACAGGAGUUGAGGAGAUACUGCUGUUUUGGAGUCUGUUUCAGGUCACAGUCUUGCCAGGUCAACAAAAGUCACACAAUGUGAAUGGUGCCAAAGCAGACUUGAUGGCUCUACAUGAAUAUUUAUCUUCUGUCUUUUUAUUAUAAAGUUCAUUUUGCAUUCUGACAGAGUUGUCAUUACACACCUUUUUUGAUGACCUACCAGAAAAAAGACCCCAAAUGUGCUUUGUUUUGCAGUACACCAGGCAACAAGCCAAAAUGUAGGAAACCUUUGUGUCACCCUCUUCUUGGAGCUUUCUUCCAGAAAUUCUGAGUUGUACUGGAUCCAGCCUUUGCCAGCUGAGCUGUGGUGACCCUAGACUUUGUCCUGAGACAUGUUUUGGGGCUGCUGUCUGGGCUGUAGUGCUACUGGCAGCAGCACUUGCAUUCCUUCGACUGAUCAUCGGUUGGAGGUUAUGGGUGCUGCUUGACCCCUGACUCGUGUCAGGUACCCUUGUUUUAGAUCCUUGUGCUGACUGGUGGCCAGACUGCCUUUCCCCAUUCCGUUCAAGUUGUAUAUAGUUCUUUGGCAUGCAUCCAAACCUAAUGCAGUAUAAAGGGAAAGGUCUUCAGGUUUCCAGACUGUAUACACAUGUGGUCAGAGCCCCAGCUCAUUAAAUUAGUAUGUGCAGUGGAGAUCAGCGACUGAUUUAUGUUUUCAUCUAUGCAAGGUAAAUUGGAUUGAAACUUCACACUGUUUAAAAGGGAGAGCUGAGAUUCUUGCUUACCUUUGAGUUCUAAAUUAGCAGGCACAUGACCAAGCUGCAUGGACCUGAAGAAGCUGGUUCUGUGUUAAUUUGAUGCCUAUACCAUUUAUUUCAUUGGAGCCUUUUGUAUCAGAAACCACAUGUACACAGCCUCACAUUGUGAAGCAAGAUUAAUUUAGCUGUUGGCAAAUUAUGUGCUAUAUAAGAAUGUUCUGUGACGACUUGGAUCGCAAAUUCUACUUCUUCAUUUUUGCAAUGCAAAUUGCCAGUAACAUGAACUACUGGUUUCAGCUGAACUUUACAGAAAUGUGAAUGAUGAACCCAAAAUAAGGAGAUAAAUGGUGGAGAACUAAAUGACAUAAGGCCUGCUGAGUCAGAUAUUAAGAUAUAUCAAUAUAAACGAUAACAUAGAAGUUAGAUGUGAAGGUAAUGGCAAAGGUUUUAGAGCUUUGGUUCCUCUAAAAACACAGAAGGGGUAKCCUCUCAACAAAAUGUUGAUUUGUGAUUCUCAGCUGUAAUUACAGAGAGCAAUACAGGGGUGACUACUGAGAAUAUUUCCAUGUUUCAGUUUAAUAAGUUAUUUUAAUGUUUCUAAAAUCUCUCUUCUUUUAGAACUGAAAUUCUUGUGCUCUCUCUUUCUCUCUUUGAAUUGUUGUAGCAAUAGCUGCAGUGAAACAAACUUCCCACAGGUCUACCUUGGAGAACAGAACCACUCUGGUAAUAGAGAUAAAUUUAUAAUAUGCAAGCUCAGUUUUUGGUAUGCUUCCUAACUGUACCAAUUCGCUUGAAGAUUCAUUUGAAAUGUUCCUUACUCAUGUCAGUAAGAUGUAGAAAGAUAAARUUGACUUGCUCUCUGUAUUGCUGAUGAUAACUUUUUCCUUGAGUUUUAUUUAACCUUAAGAUUGUAUUGGUUCCAGUCUUCAUAUUCAUGGGCUCUCCUAGACCAAACGAAUACCUUCACCAGUGSCUUUAGACACCAUUUACUAGCUUAAAACCACACCAACAUUUUGCUGCUUGUACCUGGUUCCUCCCUGUAUCUCUGCCAUCAAAGAGGCCAAGCAGGCAUUCCCUAAUGCAGGACAAGUAAAGCCAGCCUGGUUAGCUCAUAUCCAUGUUCAUCACCAGGUGAAAUGAAUCUGGCUGCCUUAACUUAAACAGAUUAGGAGGUGAUUUGUGAUCCAUUUUGCUAAUGCAGCAGUAUGUCGUGUACUUGGAAGACAGCAAUAAGAGUUAGAGACASUGUUGUCAUCUCCCAGAGGAGCUCCCUUGUAGUCUCUGGUUUUCUCAGCGCUCCCAUCCUUGAACCCAGUUUUGUACCCCUCAACUUCCAUGUUUUUUCUACAUAUAUUGCCUUCGUUUUCACUUUAGCUGCCACAACUAAAGAUAUAUUUUGACAUUUUAAAUGAGUCUUCUCUGUUCAGCUUGCUCUGUCUUUAUUAAUUAAAUUUGUGUCUUCAUUUUAGGCUCCUUCAGUUCAUCUCUUCGAAUUUCAGCUCUUACUUUCCAUUUGCCUUCAUUAUACUUUGCCAUCCUUGAACUGCACUGAACUCUUCCUCAUUUCACAUCUUCCCAUACAAUAUUCAGAUCUGCUAUUCCUCUGUCUAAUUUUACCAUGGCUGAUGUGAAAAUCUUCUUUGCUAGAGAAGCAGCAGUGAGGAGGCAGACCUUUCUUCUCUUUGCUACAUUUGUUCUUGCUCUUACAUAAAAUCCCAGCUGAAAAAGGGCAUUCUCCUCUGUGAUCRUAACUUCACAUUCCUCUUUUUCCUCCUACUCUUCCCCUUGGAAUACAUUUUAAUACAUCCUCAUCCAUGGAAACUAUACUGUUUAUGUUUGCAAUUUUUCAAUGUGCCUGGAGUUGGUGUUUUUCAGAUGAGCAGUGUAUUAAGAUUUAAUCUGAACCUAGUCAGAUAAUAUUGACCUGCAAUGAAAAAGCUGUAUGAAUGAGAUAGCAGCAGACAGCUAAAAGUGCUGAGUGCCAAAUCCUGACUGAAAAAUGAUACCCCAGAAUUUGGUGGUAGAGAGUAGAUGGGACAUUUA